rnacentral:rRNA from 1 species
UAGGGAAUCUUCCGCAAUGGGCGAAAGCCUGACGGAGCAACGCCGCGUGAGUGAUGAAGGUCUUCGGAUCGUAAAACUCUGUUAUUAGGGAAGAACAAAUGUGUAAGUAACUAUGCACGUCUUGACGGUACCUAAUCAGAAAGCCACGGCUAACUACGUGCCAGCAGCCGCGGUAAUACGUAGGUGGCAAGCGUUAUCCGGAAUUAUUGGGCGUAAAGCGCGCGUAGGCGGUUUUUUAAGUCUGAUGUGAAAGCCCACGGCUCAACCGUGGAUGUUCAUUGGACACUGGAAAACUUGAGUGCAGAGGGGGGAAGUGGAAUUCCGUGUGUAGCGGUGAAAUGCGCAGAGAUAUGGAGGAACACCGGUGGCGAAGGCGACUUUCUGGUCUGUAACUGACGCUGAUGUGCGAAAGCGUGGGGAUCAAA